GGGCGCUUGGUCUAGGGGUAUGAUUUUCGCUUCGCAUCGUCGCUUCUGCGCGCUGCCAACUGUGAAAGGUCGUGGGUUCAAUUCCCACAGUGUCCA
rfam:Colletotrichum gloeosporioides Cg-14 contig01816, whole genome shotgun sequence.